rnacentral:rRNA from 1 species
UACGUAGGGGGGCUAGCGUUGUCCGGAAUCAUUGGGCGUAAAGCGCGUGUAGGCGGUCCGGUAAGUCCGCUGUGAAAGUCGAGGGCUCAACCCUCGAAUGCCGGUGGAUACUGUCGGGCUUGAGUACGGGAGAGGCGAGUGGAAUUCCUGGUGUAGCGGUGAAAUGCGCAGAUAUCAGGAAGAACACCAAUGGCGAAGGCAGCUCUCUGGGACGGUACUGACGCUGAGACGCGAAAGCGUGGGGAGCGAACAGG